rnacentral:lncRNA from 1 species
AUAUGCUGCAUCUUAUUUAUUUUAAGAUUAUAAUGAACCCCAUAGGUCUGGGCAUGGUUUUAGGGUUGUGAUGAAAGCUAACUCCCUCUCCCCCUUAUGCUGUACUAAUCACGCUAGUGAGAUCUAAUUCUUUGAUAGUCCUAACCUAAAAUAUUUUUAGUCAUUGGUACAUUGAGUCAGAGAUCAAUGAUACCGGUAAGACUGGCAUGUCCUAUGUAUGCUUAGAAAUAAGGAUGGUUGAUCUCACAACCACUUGUGUGGAGACACUAAUAUAAGGAUAUGGAUGCUCAUUAGAGAAUGAGUUCACUGAAUUGACCUGUGAGAGAAUAUCAGAUGGAGUCUUAUUUACAUGUCAACUGAUAAUUCUUUAGUGGGAGUUGUGUAUGUGAUUCUUAGACCUGAGAUCACUAUGGUACCUUGUGUACUUGGAUCCAUAUUUUGAUUCACUACCUAAUUUGAUUCUCUAAUCCUUAUGUGAGGUGUUCUGGAUAUGGUGAAGAGUGCAUAGAGGUUGUGAGUAAUCAAUAAGGGAUCAGUCACUCCUAAUAAUGGGAGCGAACAUCCUAUGUGAUCUCAUAAGUUGUUGAUUCGAAAGUCUUUGAUCAAAGUAGGAUGAUAAUUAGAAAAGUAUUUCUAAUAUAUCAUCAACUAAAUCAUCACCUUCUGAUCGAGAUACAUAAUGAUAAGUGAUUGAGUUUGACAUAUUUUCAUACCCAC